AGAGAGGUGGCCGAGUGGCUGAAGGCGCACGCUUGGAAAGCGUGUAUAGGGCAACUUAUCGAGGGUUCGAAUCCCUUCCUCUCUG
rnacentral:tRNA from 1 species